rnacentral:rRNA from 1 species
UACAGAGGGUGCGAGCGUUAAUCGGAAUUACUGGGCGUAAAGCGUGCGUAGACGGUAGCGUAAGUCAGAUGUGAAAGCCCCGGGCUCAACCUGGGAAUUGCAUUUGAGACUGCUCUGCUCGGGUGCGGAAGAGGGAAGCGGAAUUUCCGGUGUAGCGGUGAAAUGCGUAGAUAUCGGAAGGAACACCAGUGGCGAAGGCGAGUCUCUGGACAUUUCCUGACGCUGAGGCACGAAAGCCAGGGGAGCAAACGGGAUAGAAAGCCCU